CAGGAUCGUAGUUUAAACAAAACAUUUGCAUUGGAAGCUAAAACUCAGGUGGAUACCUGCAUCUUGA
rnacentral:tRNA from 1 species